UCUUUAUGGAGAGUUUGAUCCUGGCUCAGGACGAACGCUGGCGGCGUGCCUAAUACAUGCAAGUCGA
rnacentral:rRNA from 1 species